CCUUGAGUUUAGGGUAAUAAAGGCAGGUCACAGGAUUAGAUAGGCUUCGAUGUGGGCUUUCGGAAUUCCUAGCAUAGGACCUCUUUUCCCCCAAAAUUUGCUGGUUGUGUUUUCGCAUCUUUCAGACAAUGCCGGAGGCUGUGUGUGAAAUCCAGGCCAUUUGAAAACACCCUCAUCUGCUCUCAGUCCACUCUAGUAACUCCUGUAGGACAGACGUGUCCUCUCCCUGACUGGAAGUGAGCCUUUGUCUUGCCACGCUGGUUGGAGCCCCCUUCAUAUAUCACGACACAUGUUCAAGCCUCUAAGGAUCAAAGAGAUAAGAUGUCGUCGGUACAUGGCACUGGAAACUAUCGGGAGUCGUUUCCUUGUUUAACUCCACCACCAACAGCUGAUCCUCCCCAGCCAUCAACGAGCCAUAUGACCGCCACCACACCACUGCCUCCCUCCACCACUGGUGCUCCAACACAAACUCUCACCAGUUCAAUGCGUAGAAAGAUCAGUAUUAAAAAAAAAGAAAAAGAAGGUGUACAAUAGCUGCUCUGCUGGAGCAUACUAGUCGCCGUGGGAUGUGUCAACUUUAAAUGCCAUUUUCUCAAAAAUUUUGCAUUCAGCAGAUGGGAGAAGAGUCCAGGUAUCAAGAUUGCCCUAAAAUAAAAUUUUCAAUUAGUUA